GUAGGUGGCAAGCGUUGUCCGGAAUUAUUGGGCGUAAAGCGCGCGCAGGCGGUCCUUUAAGUCUGAUGUGAAAGCCCACGGCUCAACCGUGGAGGGUCAUUGGAAACUGGGGGACUUGAGUACAGAAGAGGAAAGCGGAAUUCCAAGUGUAGCGGUGAAAUGCGUAGAGAUUUGGAGGAACACAAGUGGCGAAGGCGGCUUUCUGGUCUGUAACUGACGCUGAGGCGCGAAAGCGUGGGGAGCAAACAGGAUUAGAUACCCUGGUAGUCCACGCCGUAAACGAUGAGUGCUAAGUGUUAGGGGGUUUCCCGCCCCCCUUAGUGCUGCAGCUAACGCAUUAAGCACUCCGCCUGGGGAGUACGGCCGCAAGGCUG
rnacentral:rRNA from 1 species